rnacentral:rRNA from 1 species
GAUGAACGCUGGCGGCGUGCCUAAUACAUGCAAGUCGAGCGAACAGACGAGGAGCUUGCUCCUCUGACGUUAGCGGCGGACGGGUGAGUAACACGUGGAUAACCUACCUAUAAGACUGGGAUAACUUCGGGAAACCGGAGCUAAUACCGGAUAAUAUAUUGAACCGCAUGGUUCAAUAGUGAAAGACGGUUUUGCUGUCACUUAUAGAUGGAUCCGCGCCGCAUUAGCUAGUUGGUAAGGUAACGGCUUACCAAGGCAACGAUGCGUAGCCGACCUGAGAGGGUGAUCGGCCACACUGGAACUGAGACACGGUCCAGACUCCUACGGGAGGCAGCAGUAGGGAAUCUUCCGCAAUGGGCGAAAGCCUGACGGAGCAACGCCGCGUGAGUGAUGAAGGUCUUCGGCUCGUAAAACCCUGUUAUUAGGGAAGAACAAAUGUGUAAGUACCUAUGCACGUCUUGACGGUACCUAAUCAGAAAGCCACGGCUAACUACGUG